rnacentral:rRNA from 1 species
GACGAACGCUGGCGGCGUGCUUAACACAUGCAAGUCGAACGGAAAGGCCCCUUUGGGGGUACUCGAGUGGCGAACGGGUGCGUAACACGUGAGUAACCUGCCCUUGACUUCGGGAUAACUUCAGGAAACUGGGGCUAAUACCGGAUAGGAAUCCUUGCUGCAUGGUGGGGGUUGGAAAGCUUCGGCGGUUUUGGAUGGACUCGCGGCUUAUCAGCUUGUUGGUGGGGUAGUGGCUUACCAAGGCUUUGACGGGUAGCCGGCCUGAGAGGGCGACCGGCCACAUUGGGACUGAGAUACGGCCCAGACUCCUACGGGAGGCAGCAGUGGGGAAUAUUGCACAAUGGGCGGAAGCCUGAUGCAGCAACGCCGCGUGCGGGAUGACGGCCUUCGGGUUGUAAACCGCGUUCAGCAGGGGCGAAGCUUGUGGUGACGGUACCUGCAGAAGAAGCACCGGCUAACUACGUG